UACGAAGGGGGCUAGCGUUGCUCGGAAUCACUGGGCGUAAAGGGUGCGUAGGCGGGGCUUUAAGUCAGGGGGGAAAUCCUGGAGCUCAACUCCAGAACUGCCUUUGAUACUGAGGAUCUUGAGUUCGGGAGAGGUGAGUGGAACUGCGAGUGUAGAGGUGAAAUUCGUAGAUAUUCGCAAGAACACCAGUGGCGAAGGCGGCUCACUGGCCCGAUACUGACGCUGAGGCACGAAAGCAUGGGGAGCAAACAGG
rnacentral:rRNA from 1 species